GCGGGAAGCGCCAGGGUCCAGACUCGGGAGUUCGAAUGCGAAAGUGGAGUCUGCGCCGCAGCUCACGGACAGGUCAUAGCGGCUAGAAAAGGACGCGGAGCUGACGGCCCUGGGGACCGGGUCCGAGGAACUGGGAGAGGAAAUUGGAAACCCGUGAAGAUCGGGAAGCGAAGAGACUCCAAGAGACAGAAGAAACCCAGUCUGAAAGGGGCGGAGCGAGGCGAGAUGGGUCCGACGGGCCACCAUGCCCCCGGGUCGCAGAGCAGCCCUGUCCCCCAGGUGCACAAGUUGGCUCAGCUCACAGCCUCUGGUUUCUCAGGGGCCGUCAGGCAGCAAGGCUCCGCGGGGCAGCACGCAGAAGGAAAGACUUUCCGGUGCACCCGUGCACACCAAGCACAGGCACAGGCCUCUGCGCGCAGGCACGCGCUGGGCUCUGAGCACGCGGGGCUCCGCACCCCUUGCCACCUGGGGUGGGUAGAAGGAAGGUGGGAGGAAAAGCACAGUGUGGACCUGGAAUCCCAAAGGCAGCCCUGUCCCUGACUCUAAUAAGCCUGUGGCCCAGCCUCUUAACUCCUGGGGCUCCCUCCACCCCAUAAAGUGAGAUACAUACACCUGCAGUUCCACCCCCGUCAGGAGCCAGGAAAAUGGUGGGUGUGAAAGCCCUUUAGUAACUGUAAAGCUCUGUAGGGAGUAUUGAAGUCAGCUGAGGAUGGGACUCCCGCCCUUGUCCUUUUCCAGGACCUGCCCAGCUCCCAUGCUCCCCGCUUCCCACCAAAGUUGAUCCCUUGCCGAUCUCAUUCCAUUUUUAUACUUUACCAGGUGAGGACUCCAUAACCUGGUAAACUGAGCCCAUUGGCUGAGUGUGAUGAAAUGGAGGGUCGUGUUCCUUGACUCCCACCCACCGCGUGGUUAAAAGGAUAAGCCUCAUCUCUUGAAUUCUAGCUCCAAGUCAGCCAAUAAAGUAACAGACAAAUCA